GGUAUCCUGCAAAAUUGGAAGGGCCAUAUAACUAAAAAAGGGAAGAAUCAUUCAUAUGACUUUCUUCAUCAGAAGUUGAUUCCAGAUUUUCUUCCCUAGGAUGGAGACAUAUUCCACUGCGUUCUUCCUUUCCUUUGAUGAGAUACAAGGUCAUGCUGACCACAAACUAUUUUCCGCCUCUUCCUUCAGAAGUUCACAGGGAAACCACUGAAGGCACUCUGUGAAACUACUUUAUCUGGAAAAAAAAAAAAAAAAUCUGGCUUCUGAAGCUCCUUUCUUGAGAGGAAUGUUUAUAGAAUUGCUUCCAAGUUCCUGUAAAUGCCCCCACGUUUCACACUCAUCGUAUCAUGUGAAGCUGUUCUCGACCCCAAAGAAGACACAGGGUGAAUCAUUAAACCAAAAUGAAAGAAGAAGAAUAUGGAGAAUAGAAAGUUUGUGAAUUGUGAAGACAGCAUGGUACAGAAUGGAACAAAAGGGGAAGUUUGCAAAGCAAUAGAUGUUGGAGGGAAAAGAGCACCUCAGGAAGAGAUCAUCUCACUGCCAUCCCUGCUUUUUCAGGGGAGUUGCACUAAGUUUAUUAGAACAAUGUCUGGUACCAUACGCAUUUCAGUUUUCAUGAUGCCACUGAGGUCAACCUCCUAUUACCUCUUCUGAAAGGAGAAGUGGAUUCAUGCAUUAUAAUCAGGCAAACCAGUAGUACAGUACUUUCUCAGAAGGAGAAUGAUUACCAGGAAAGUAUCUGUAUCUUCAGACACAGCCAGACUCUUUCCAAAUCUGGUUGGAUUUGCUUAUCCUGCCCUCUUGUUCUGGGUUACAUCCUCCAGAGACACCCUGGGCUGGAUCUGAAAAUCAUUGCUUGGGACAACUCUCUCUCUUAGAGCCUUCCUGAGAGUUUCUGUUGCUCUGUUUCUCAAGUGUCAUAUAGCAGAACAUGGUCCUUAAGUUCUCCGCAGUCUUAAUGAGAUCAUCCAGUACUGCAAGAAACGUGCACGCAUGAUACUCUUUAUCCCUGCUUCCACUUUUGUGUAGGCAUCCUCUAAUAAAGUGUCAUAACUCUUGACUCUUGUUAAAAUUUUUCAAUGUUUGCCCUUUUGAGAGGAGUUUGUUCAAAGGAAGAAAUUCACUGUCCCUCCGUCAGUCCCUUGGGGAAUCUGUACAACGCUCAGCACAACUGGAGACAUUCAUUUCUCUGUGGGUCCCUUCUGCUCCGGGGAACUUCCCCCUUUAGGGGAAAAUCCACGUUCGGCCACAAGUGGGGGAGUCCCAGACAGCUGGACAAGAGGAGAGAGGGGUGUAAAGGACCUAGAAAGUGCUUCAAAGAAAUUAAGGCAUCUGUGUAGAUAGUCUUCAGUAAACAUAACUGGAUCUUGGGAGUCUGAUGAUGAAACCAGCUUGACCCAUCUUGGUCCCACUCCCUGGAAACGGCAAGUUUGGGAAGUUUGUGAAAGCAAGGUGUGGAAAGCAAUGGGAAAUUUUGCCUGAUAAAGCACUGGGGAAAAGCUGAAUGAGCACAUCAGGAUUUUUAGCCAGAUGAAAGAGGAGUCCUCUGAUGUUUGCAGAAAGAAAAAAAAUAAUGCUCAGAUGACUCAAGCACAUUAGUUGGGAUGUAGAAAUUUUAUCUACCACGUUGGGUCUCAAGCUUGUAGGUAGAAUAUAUAUUUAUAUAUGAGUGUAUACGUGGGCAGGUAUGGUGCAGUAGGAAGCACGUUGUGUAGCUCAGUUGCUUAUAAAUACAUUUAGAAGUUGAAGCCAUUCUUUCUAUAUUUAUUUUCAGGACCAGUUUUGAUUAUUGGUAUUGUAACAUUGAUCUAACAGAUUGAUAGGUCAGCUCAACUGUGGACAUCAUCCUACACUGCGUUCAGAAUGAAAGUUUAUAACAUUUACAACCAUUUAGGUAGGUUUAAUUAUUUAUUUAUUUUUGUGACAACAGCUCAGGCAAAGAAGUCUUUCGAACAUCAACUUCGAACCUGCCCAAAGCAAUGGAAGUUUUUCUAUUUCUUUCACAGGAUCUUUCAGCUAGAUUAUCGUUUUCUAGUUGAAUGAUAAUAGAAGUAUUAGAGUUUUGAUCUUACUGAGGAUGGAGGACUAGAAAGAGUACGGCGCUAUUUUUUCCCCAUCUUAUGAAAACUGCUAGGAUGUCAGCAGAAAAUGUAUUAUGAGAUAUUUCACACAUUGAUAAAAAUGUCAAUCAGUUUUGGGUCUCGUAAGAACUUCCCUAAAAGGUGAAAAGCACAGAUUUAUUUUCCUUAUCUUGGCAUCUCCUUAAAUGAAUCAGCUAUGUAACUCAGCAGAGUAUAGUGUUACAUUAAUUACAGCAUGCCUCAUAGCAUGGAAUGAGAGAUAACUGAUUUAUUUUGCUUCAGGAAUAAAUCUAAAAGUCAAAUUACUUUUGUUUCUUAAGAUACAUAAUGUAUAGAAUUUGUAUUUCUUAAGUGAUUUGUAUCAUUGCCUAAAUUUCUAUCAUUCCUAUUUAUUUUUUUUUUACAUGUGCCUCUGUAUAGCAAGUGGUUAUAUGAUAUAUUUAUAGAUGUUCUUUGGCUGCCAAUUCACUUUUUUGUUUUCCAGCAAUUUUAGGAGGUUUUCUUUGGUUGUUCUUUCUAUUGAUGCUAUUCUAAAACCUUAUAUACAGCUCAAUAAUAUGCACUGAUUAAAAAAAUCCCAAUAUGUCAAAAGCCUUUUUUUUCAGUCAUGCAACAUCAUAAUCACCUCACCUGGCAUUCAUAUUAUAUUCCACUAGUGGCACGUGUAGACAUAUCUCUGCAAUGAAUUGGAUGCUGAUCUAUAAAAAAGUAUUUUUACAGAAUCUGCUCAGAUAUAAGUGUUAGGGAGCACAGCAAGCAGAACUCUUGUGUUCACACUGUAUUUGUUUGUUUAUUGCUUAUUGGAUUCCCAUAGUGUCCAGACUGAAAA